rnacentral:rRNA from 1 species
AUUGAACGCUGGCGGCAGGCUUAACACAUGCAAGUCGAGCGAGCGGCGGACGGGUGAGUAAUGUCUGGGAAACUGCCUGAUGGAGGGGGAUAACUACUGGAAACGGUAGCUAAUACCGCAUACCAUCAGAUGUGCCCAUAUGGGAUUAGCUAGUAGGUGGGGUAAAGGCUCACCUAGGCGACGAUCCCUAGCUGGUCUGAGAGGAUGACCAGCCACAAUGGGAUGGAGAAACGGGCCAGGAUCCGACGGGAGGCAGCAGUGGGGAAUAUUGGAAAAUGGGGGCAAACCGGAUACAGGCAUGGCGCGUGUAGGAAGAAGGCCCUCGGGUUGUAAAGCACUUUCAGCGAGGAGGCGUUACUCGCAGAAGAAGCACCGGCUAACUCCGUGCCAGCCGCCGCGGUAAUAC